UACGUAGGGUGCAAGCGUUAAUCGGAAUUACUGGGCGUAAAGCGUGCGCAGGCGGUUUUGUAAGUCUGUCGUGAAAAUCCCCGGGCUCAACCUGGGAAUUGCGAUGAAGACUGCAAGGUUUGAAUCUGGCAGAGGGGGGGUAGAAUUCCACGUGUAGCAGUGAAAUGCGUAGAGAUGUGGAGGAACACCGAUGGCGAAGGCAGCCCCCCUGGGUCAAGAUUGACGCUCAUGCACGAAAGCGUGGGGAGCAAACAGG
rnacentral:rRNA from 1 species